UAAGGACACCCUCGGGGUACGACAAAAUCAACGCAGGAGUACUUCGGUUGAAACCAGCUUGAUUCCACUUUCCGAUGGUUUUGCAGUUUCUAGAAGGUGGCACCAGCGGCGUAUCGUGCACCAUCGCCCGCGGCUGUUGUUGCGAAGUAUACUUGCGAACGUUGCCGGAGAGCGUUCAAGAAACCCCGUUGCAAGGCGUGAUCCGGCGCCACUAAUUUUUCGCAUAGUUGCGAGCUGUGUGCUGCGAAUAGUCGCCCUUAACUGUCUUGUUUGCUGUGAGAUGGACUUUGUGCGAGCGCCUGUCGACCGAGGUGUGGACAUCCUGAGUGGUUGCUUCCUGGCGGAUCAAGGCAGAGUUGCCGCGCUGGAGAAUGCAUCUAUGAGGGUCGUCUCUGCGAAGUAAUAAAGGGCCAUUCUACCCUGAGCAAAUGGAUGACCCACGGUGCUGUUAACAUCGUGGUAAGAAAUGUUCGCAAUCACCCAUCGGUCGUUUUCAAAGCACAAUCGGCCACACGACAAACGAAGCCGAACGUUUUGUCCACGAAGUCCCGGCUCAAUCACGUGUCCGCACCAAUGUCAGUGCUUCGGAAUGGGGCACUCAUUACCCGCAAAUCACCAUAAAGGGCAACAACUUGGAGUUUCCUGCGCCAUCAUAUCACUGGUUAUAUACAGUUUCAUGUAUGAAGUUUCAUGAC